GAUGAACGCUGGCGGCGUGCCUAAUACAUGCAAGUCGAGCGAACAGAUGAGGAGCUUGCUCCUCUGACGUUAGCGGCGGACGGGUGAGUAACACGUGGAUAACCUACCUAUAAGACUGGGAUAAUUUCGGGAAACCGGAGCUAAUACCGGAUAAUAUAUUGAACCGCAUGGUUCAAUAGUGAAAGACGGUUUUGCUGUCACUUCUAGAUGGAUCCGCGCCGCAUUAGCUAGUUUGUAAGGUAACGGCUUACCAAGGCAACGAUGCGUAGCCGACCUGAGAGGGUGAUCGGCCACACUGGAACUGAGACACGGUCCAGACUCCUACGGGAGGCAGCAGUAGGGAAUCUUCGGCAAUGGGCGAAAGCCUGACGGAGCAACGCCGCGUGAGUGAUGAAGGUCUUCGGAUCGUAAAACUCUGUUAUUAGGGAAGAACAGAUGUGUAAGUAACUAUGCACGUCUUGACGGUACCUAAUCAGAAAGCCACGGCUAACUACGUG
rnacentral:rRNA from 1 species